GACGUAGGGCGCGAGCGUUGUCCGGAUUUAUUGGGCGUAAAGAGCUCGUAGGCGGCUUGUCGCGUCGGCUGUGAAAACCCGCGGCUCAACUGUGGGCGGGCAGCUGAUACGGGCAGACUAGAGUACUUCAGGGGAGACUGGAAUUCCUGGUGUAGCGGUGAAAUGCGCAGAUAUCAGGAGGAACACCGGUGGCGAAGGCGGGUCUCUGGGAAGUAACUGACGCUGAGAAGCGAAAGCGUGGGUAGCGAACAGG
rnacentral:rRNA from 1 species